rnacentral:sRNA from 1 species
ACAUCUAGCGGUUUUCAAGCAAACCCCAAAACCCUUUUACUCAGAAAGGCCGUAUAUUGUCUCUUUAAAAAAACCGUUUAUGUUUUUUUCCCAUGAAAUGAAGGCCUUAAAUCCUGCAGCGCUCGACCUCACGUCACCUAUGUACCUAGAUUAUUAGCUCGAGAUGUCAUACUCGAAGCAGCUAAUGCCGCUUAUCAAGCGUUUCGUCGGAUACGAAAUCUAAUAGUGGGCGGUGAUUAUCUUGUUGUUCGACGAGGAGCCCUGUUAGCAGCCAGAGAAGAAAGAGUUGUAGGUAGAGGCCGUGGUUGCGGGCACAAAUAAUUUGCAACCCCCAUUGAGACACACUUGUAGAGGUCAAAACCUGGCCUCUUUCUUCAGAACAAAUACAGGUCAGCCCGCUUUCUUGAGUUUAAAGAAAAUGGGGACUUUGAAAUUACUAACUUCAACCAUAGUUAUAUAUCCAGGAUUACUUGAAAGUAGUUGUGAAGGUAUGUCAGUAUUUCGUGAAGCACGGGUUAAGGUUCUCUAUGUUGCAAACCCUAUUGUCAUGGAUGAUGUUGAAGUUCCUGUUCUAGGCUUUGGAGGUUACGGCCGUAAUUGUACAGCACGUCUUCCUAACAAAGGAGGAUUUAAAUUAGUUUGUGGGCAUCCGGAGGAGUACGGAUGGACUACUUGGUAUAUACUGACAUCAGGCAUUGAUGAAUUUGUUUCUAAGUUUUCUUCUUUUUUGACUGAAAAAUAUUGGGUGCCCUGGUUUGUGAAGAUAGGGAAUUAUCUUUCUUGCGUACAAAGGUCGUUUACUGGGUGUAACGUGUAUGUUUCCAAGGAUGUCAAUAUAGUAGGCUGGGAAAUUUAUCAUAAAAUUGUUGCUGACUCAAUCAAGCAUUACAACAUGAAGACACAACGGAUAAGAUCCUUAGAUGGGCUCGUUGACGCUCGCAAAGAUUUCGUGCGUCUUCAUAUCUACAGCCUGGUCUCCUGGAGCAGUUUCUAAUUUACGAAGAAUCAUUGUGUUGCGAGUCUCUUGUUUGCACUCGGAUUGUAUGCUUCACGUUAUUUAGAUGUUUUGUAAUAUUUUGCUUCGCUAUUGGCUUUGAUUUGAAGUAAUCAGGUGACUAUUACACUAAGGAUGUUGAUUUGAAUUUUAGUGUGUAACUGGUAAACCAAAAGACCCUGUAAAUAAAAUUUACUUUACAUGUGAAUUAGAAAGAAAAUCAAAUGCUGGUUGCCAUCGGAGGAAGUCUUGUUCCUUUCAGUUUCUGUCUUUAAAGCUUAUAAAUGCAGUUCUCCUUUGUUCCUCGUUGCAUCCUCUCCUUUUCAAUUCACUCCCUCCUCCCUCCUUGUUUUUGUUCCAUCUCGGCUGGUUUCGGGUGGAGGGCACUGCACUCCGUGGACAAACUCAGUGGAAUCUGCUAAUUAAGGAAUGGAGGAAUCAGAUGGUAAGAAGUACAAGAAGCUCAGAAGUUCUAUUUCAGUAAUAUGAUAGCAAAACAGAAGGACAAGGAAUAUGGGGAGGGAUAGCAAUUAGGAAUAACACCAGUUUGAAUGUGCAUCAUAGAUUGCUGUGUUCUAAGAUUUAUUGAGCAGUCCCUGAGCAAACUAAUGAGCAUAAAUAGGUCUUGAAGA